UAAAUAUAAAAUCAGGAUGGUGCAGUAUUCUAGUCGGUCCUCUGAUUCUGAAGGCGGGCCUAAAAAUCCGCCAAAGGGCACAUCGAUGAAGUUCCUUGUGUCGGCUUGAGGCGCCCAGCCUUGGGUCGAUGCUGGGAGUUAAGGUUGAAGGGCGAUCCACAAUGGCAUGUGGGCGUUGACCCUGCUUCCGCGGAGGCCCAUUCUUGUGGGAGGCUGUUCUCAUACGUCUUCUAUGAAAUGGGGUAUGAACCUAUGUGGUGGUGCUUAAUGGGAAGUAUUACGCGUAGCGUAGCCUGCCUUGAGUGACCCUGAGGGGAUUAUGGUUAUAAACAUUCUUGUGGGUGGCCACUACAAUAAUGUUUAACAUCUAUAUGAAAUCAGUGUUGCAAAAGAGGCUAGGAAUCAGUUAAAGACUGUUGAGGAAAUCUCCUAGACUGUUCUGUCAGACACUUCAAAGGGAUUAUAGUGCGGACUAAGUGGUAAUCUAGUCUAGCUUUCGGUGACGGAGCUAAGGUGGAUUUAAAGGGGAACCGCCGACGUGGCAACACGUGGUAUCCACUUGGGAAAACCUACUGGACCUAAGCCGUAGUUUUUACCUUUUAAGUGACCAUUCUGUAUUUAUGGUUA
rnacentral:sRNA from 1 species